AGAUCCUUGAUUUUUCCAAAGCAAAUCCCUUUCUUAUAUAUGUCCCAGCAGUAGGAGGGUCUAGGCUCAAACCCGUACGUAAACAAUUUUCACUGAGUGCUAAGAGAAGCCGGGAAUUUUCCCUGUGAAUGCCAUCCUUCCCUUCCUACUCAAAAAGCACCCAGGAUGUACAGCGCUUCCCAACUUCCAGGUCGCUGCUUCCAUCCCCAGAAGCCGAACAGCCGGAGCGGGAAGAUGUGAGGGUCAGGGCGGCAGAGAAACCUGCCAACAUCCCUGCUCUGGUCUGGUACACCACACUACAGCCUGACGAC
rnacentral:lncRNA from 1 species